rnacentral:rRNA from 1 species
AUUGAACGCUGGCGGCACGCCUUACACAUGCAAGUCGAACGGUAACAGGUCUUCGGAUGCUGACGAGUGGCGAACGGGUGAGUAAUACAUCGGAACGUGCCUAGUAGUGGGGGAUAACUACUCGAAAGAGUGGCUAAUACCGCAUGAGAUCUACGGAUGAAAGCAGGGGAUCGCAAGACCUUGUGCUACUAGAGCGGCCGAUGGCAGAUUAGGUAGUUGGUGGGAUAAAAGCUUACCAAGCCGACGAUCUGUAGCUGGUCUGAGAGGACGAUCAGCCACACUGGGACUGAGACACGGCCCAGACUCCAGCGGGAGGCAGCAGUGGGGAAUUUUGGACAAUGGGCGAAAGCCUGAUCCAGCAAUGCCGCGUGCAGGAUGAAGGCCUUCGGGUUGUAAACUGCUUUUGUACGGAACGAAAAGCCCUGGGUUAAUACCCUGGGGUCAUGACGGUACCGUAAGAAUAAGCACCGGCUAACUACGUGCCAGCCGCCGCCGUAA